rnacentral:rRNA from 1 species
AUCAACGCUGGCGGCGUGCCUGACACAUGCAAGUCGAACGCGAAAGUCCCGCAAGGGAUGAGUAGAGUGGCGAACGGGUGAGUAACGCGUGGGUGACCUGCCUUCGAGUGGGGGAUACCGUCUCGAAAGGGACGCUAAUACCGCAUACGCUCCUGGCCUUUGGAGAGGCGAGGAGGAAAGCCGGGGAUCGCAAGACCUGGCGCUGGAAGAGGGGCCCGCGUCCGAUUAGCUGGUUGGUGGGGUAAUGGCCUACCAAGGCGACGAUCGGUAGCCGGCCUAAGAGGGCGGACGGCCACACUGGGACUGAGACACGGCCCAGACUCCUACGGGAGGCAGCAGUGGGGAAUUGUUCGCAAUGGGCGCAAGCCUGACGACGCAACGCCGCGUGGAGGAUGAAGGCUUUCGGGGUCGUAAACUCCUGUCGUGCGGGACGAAUGGUCCGGCCGUGAAUAGCGGCCGGGCA